rnacentral:lncRNA from 1 species
GACUUUCCUGUGCCUAUGUGCUAUACGGUUAUUUUUUUGUUUGACACUUGAUUGCUGGAAUUUUAUCAUUCAAUAGCUGACCUUUUUCUAUGUUUUUUCUUUGUGGAAAACAAGAAUCCAACUUUGUGCUCUUGACUGUUUCAUUUUUGAAGAUAAAUGUUUAUUGCCUGGUGGGGUAUAGCAUGUAAUUGUAAUUGGAGGAAAAUCUCAUGAACUAGCCAAUCCAAUUACUAAUAGUCAUCUUCUUAAAUCUUUUUUUAUUGAAAAUCGGUUCAUUCUUAACAGCCGAAAAAAAAAGAUACUGGAGUCUGUUCUUCCAACCGAAUCGAGUGAUUCUAUUGGUAUACGAUGAUCUGGUUGCUGAUAAACAGGAUUGACUUGGAGCUCUGGCUCUCAAUUUGAUUUUUUGAAACCCGUUCUUUAGGUCCCUUUCACCUUGUUUUUAAUGGUUGAUGUGUUUAUGUUGUCAGUUAAAGCUAUUGAUUUCGGCAUCAACCUUGUAAUGAUCUUGACCAUCCUCGUAUGUGUGCUAUAAAACCGGUGUCUUGGGAUAGCUAGUUGUGUUCUAAUCACGUUGAAUUUCGAUUAGAGUGAAAGAAUGGAAUUUACAGAAUGGUGGGUAUAUGCUUUUUGGUUUUGUGAGUGAUGUGAGGCAGCUCAAGUCAAAUAUUGAUGAAGUAGAUAGACUGCAGUCCCGAUUUCACCUCUCUAUUCCGAUUACAAAUGGGUUCCGUGCAAUUCAUGAGCCAUUUUAUUGUCAUUGUUUGUGACAGAAGACAUAUUUCAACUUGUUAACGUGUUACAAAAUGUGUGUUGCCUUUAUCCAGAGGAGUGGGCGUGGUAGUAGCUGGUAAAUUAGGAUUAUACUCUUUGUCUACAACUUAGCUAUGGGGACCACAAAGAUCUACAUAGUGUAAGUUCUCCCCCUUCCUUGUUGUGCAUUAGCUACUACGAGUUUGGAUGUUAAGUUUUCCAUUUUUUCCAGGUUUUACUCCUUACAUGGACAUGUAGAGAUUAUGGCACGAGAAAUCCAGCGAGGAGCUAAUACAGUUCAGGGUGUUGAAGCAACACUUUGGCAGGUAAAUUCUGUAGUAUAUGAGGAUCAGUUAAUGCUAGAAGGGAAUGAAAACUUGUGAACAAGAGGAAGCAGCCUUCAAAUUCUCGUGUGUCUGUGUGUGUGAGUGAACGUGUUGGAGGUUGAAGAUUAGACUCAUAAGAUACUCAACAAAUUUCACUUGGUGGCAUGGAACAGGUACCUGAGACACUUUCCAACUCGAUAUUGAACAAGGUGAAGGCCAAUCCUAAAGCAGAUGAUGUACCAGUUAUUCUGCCAGAACAACUUUUGGAGGCUGAUGGUUUUCUCUUUGGUUUUCCUUCUCGUUUUGGUGUGAUGGCAUCCCAAUUCAAAGCCUUCUUUGAUGCCACCCAUGAGCUAUGGGCAACCCAAGCUCUUGCUGGGAAACCUGCUGGAUUCUUCUGGAGUACUGGUUUCUAUGGUGGAGGCCAGGAACUUGCUGCGUGAGUCAAUUCAUUCUUCAGCCUCUACUCUCGGAACCUUUUUUGUUAUAACUUAAUUUUAGCAUGACUAAGCUUAUAGAAGCUUAGGAUUUUGUGGUAAAUUUUUCCUCACUCAUUGCUGCAGGGUAAGAGGAGCAAAUUAGGAUUUUGUGGAAUAAUUGAUAUCAUAAUUGAAUAUGAGAUGCAAAGUCAAUAAUUGCAAGCUUUAGAUAGGUUAUGUUAAAACAUAGAUAGGAUGCUUUUAAAGAUCCAGGAGGCAAUGGUAAAGUUUAAGGAAAGAUACACAACACUCCUUAAGGCAUUGAAGAAGUUCAGGUUUUAUGUAGAACAUAGAUGGCUAACUUAUAACCAGGCUUGUAGCAAUGAUAGCAAUAGAUACCGAAUCAUUAAAGCAUGCUGAAGUAGUCUAACGCCUUCUGAGAGAUAGUGCAGCAGCUGCAAGUUCAGUUACAGACAGAAAAGGCAACUCUUAUUGAGAAAUGAAUUGGCAUGGAAUAUUUCAUGCUCGCCGCCCUCUGAAAUUUCUUUUAGAAACUAAAAAUGGCAACUUUAAUCUGUGAAAAAACAAUAACCAACCAGAGUCAAAUUCGCUCUUUCAGCUACAAAGAAUAAAAACUCAUUCUUUAUAACCUUUAUUUUUUUUAAUCUUAAUCAAUUUUAACAUGUUCUAAGCUUAUAGAUGCAAUAUCAUUGAAUGCUGAGCAAUUUCAACCCGUUGCCCCGUGUGCUUGUUUUUCCUCAUCCUCUUUGUCAACAUGAGAGGCAUGAGAAGUAAGAAAGACCUUUUUUCUUGUUAUCAAAUCUUGCUGAGAGGUCGGUUUGUCCAUCUCACUCUAGGAGCAGCUUUUCCAUUCAACCAUAAAAAAAGAGGAAAAAGGAUUGUUUCCAUUGAGCUCUGCAGCAAAGAAAUGCUGCCAAAACAGUUGACAAAAUUGCGUGAAUAGAAUGGAGGGAAAGGAAAUUUGGAAGCUCGCUUGUCUUCCUGCUCGUACAAUUUAUCCUGCAAUGCUCCUCCUAUCAUUGUCUUGAUGAAUAAUUAGAUUUAGUAUGAAACUGGCAUGUUUUAGUAAAUGUAUGUUCUUAGUUAUUGUUUUUCAUUUUUUAUUCCAUAUUCAUGCGUGCAUACGAUGUCCUGUGAUCUCCCACUUGCUGUGAAAAGCUGACGGUCACUUGAUUGUUUGUUCACCUCCUGUUUGCAGAUUUACAGCCAUAACGCAGUUAGCACACCAUGGUAUGCUAUUUGUUCCUCUGGGGUACACCUUCGGCAGUGGCAUGUUUGAGAUGGGUGAAGUGAAAGGUGGGUCUUCUUAUGGUGCUGGAACUUUUGCAGCAGAUGGGAGCCGUCAACCCUCUGAAUUAGAACUCCAACAGGCCUUUUACCAAGGGAAGUAUGUUUCUGAAAUAACGAAGAAGCUCAAAGGUUAGCUUCCCUGAGCAAACUAAAACAUCUUCAAAAUGUUGUAAAAACUGAUCAUGAUCUAAAUGAUCAUUUCACUGAAGUUUAAUGAAAGAAGACGCUUGAUGCAAGAGAGAAGUAUGUGUUACUUGUUCCAUCAACGAUCUUUUCUUGAAUAUCUUUCUGGGAAUUAAACUUUGAUCUGUGAAUUCAUCUCACCAAGAAAAUGGAUAUCAGGAACUGGAAGCAAAAUGAUAUCUUGCUCCAUGGUAAACGCUGCAAGUCGUAAUCCGUUUGUGAUAUCGCCGAUGGUUUUAACCCCUCAUAUUAUUGUUGAUCCUCACAACUCUAUUUCAUACGUUUAAUGUUAUAAAAUUGGUUUAAAAACAUGAUUAAUGAUCACAUGUGAGGCCAGUUCAAUUAUGGGAUCCAUUCAAAUUUCGAGUUAAGAAUUUUCUUUUAAUAUAAAUAUUUAACAUGAGAAAUUCAUCUUAGUUCUCAACAAUUUCUUUUGUUUAGUAACUAGACUGUUUAAAGUCAUAAACAUAUAUGUUCAAGUUUUAAACAUUUUUAAAAAAAUAUGUUUUAAAUUAAUUAAAAAAUGUUAGAAUUAAUUCUGUCUAGGGGACGGGGCUAUCUAGAACAAGUUUUUUUUUUUUUUCCUAGUCUUUGCAUCAUGGUUUUAAAACUCGAUUUGACCUGAUAAGUGAACCUGAAAGCUGUAAGACUCAGUAAACCCAGAUGAGACCCGACUGAUUUAUAUAUAUAUACAAAACGUAACCGUUUUAACUUUUUAUUGUCAAACAUCUAUAACAUGAAAACAAAAAACCUACACUCUUUAAUCUGCAGAGCCAUAUUAUGAUGAAAACGACAUCGUGGGUUGGUGGAUGAAUGUGUUAUGAUGAAAACGACAUCGUGGGUUGGUGGAUGGAUGUGUUGGCAGUGCAGGGAGAGUUUGUUGAGCGGUUGUUUGGAGGGGGGGUCAGAUCUUGUGGUGAUGAUGGCGAUCCAGUUUUAAUUGGUGCGGAUAUGAAUGCGGGUGUGGAUUAAGAGCUUUUGUGGUGAAAAUCAGCGCACAUUUGCAAAGGAAGGAUUUUAAGGGCAAAGAAUGGAAAAAGAUUAGAGAGAAAAUGAAAUGGUGGGUUUGUUAUGUUUGUCGUGGAGGUGGCAGAUUAGAGAGAAAAUGAAAUGGUGGGUUUGUUAUGUUUGUCGUGGAGGUGGCAGAUUAGAGAGAUUAAGGAAGUGGUGCACGUUAGUCAAGCAGGGAUCUUAGGGAAGAAGGAUAAGAGAGAAAGAAAACACAAUGGUUUUUCAUUUAUUUUUAUGCCAAUAUUCAUUUCACAAUGAUUUUAAUUAAAUAUAUAUUAUUUAAAAUUAUUUUAAAAAAACCACAACUAAUUUUUUAAAAAAAAACUUAAUUUUUUAAAACUACAAUUGCAAAAACUACAGUUAGAUACCACAAACACAAUUUUUCAGUCCCAAUAUAUAUAUAUAUAAAAGGAACAAGAUAUUACAAAUCUAAUUUAUGUAUUUAGAAUGAGGUAACAUUUUGAAACCCGUAACAUUUUGAAACCCCGAACUCCUUUUCAGACAUGCUUAGAUCCUAGGCGCCUUAUAAUAUAAUUCUGCGUGUAAAAAAGAGAGGCAGGCUUUUGAGACGAUGCUAGAAAGUGUUAAUCCUAAGAUUUUUACAGGUGUACUAUUUUUAUUUUAUUUUUACUUUUUACAACUCCAGGGAUCAAUUUUUAACUCUUAUUAACUGUGAAUUAAUUGCUCCCAUCUAAUAAAACUAAAUUUGAAAAAAAAAUCACAUUGGAGAAAAUAGCAUUGGAAUAGUAAUCUCAUCAAUCAGCAACACUCCACCGAUUUAAAAUAAUUAAAAACGACCUUUUUAUCUCCUUGGCGUGGAUGCGAUUCAAAUAAAAUAAAAUAAAAUAUCUCCUAAAAAAAGAUAAAGAUUAGAAAAUAAAAUAAAAACGACCUCGUUUUAUCUCAGCCACCUGACAAAAUAAACAACAAUAAUACGAGGACAAACAGUCAAACAGAAUCACAUCUCCAUCUCCUCCAAUUCCAAAAGAAAAUGGAGUCCAUCUUGCGAUCCUUAACGGGUCAAGACCCGAACCCGGAUGAUUACAGAAACAUCGAGUUCUGGUCAGACCCGGAACGGUCCGGUUGGCUAACAAAGCAAGGAGACUACAUAAAAACCUGGCGACGUCGCUGGUUCGUUCUCAAACAAGGGAAACUUCUCUGGUUCAAGGAGAGAAGCGUGACGCGAGGGUCAAUUCCACGCGGGGUGAUCCCAGUGGGCAAGUGCUUGACCGUGAAAGGUGCAGAAGAUGUGCUUAACAAACCUUAUGCUUUUGAGCUUUCGACGAGCCAAGAAACAAUGUAUUUUAUAGCAGAUUCGGAGAAAGAGAAAGAGGAGUGGAUCAAUUCGAUUGGGAGGUCAAUUGUUCAACACUCACGGUCUGUUACUGAUUCUGAGAUUGUUGAUUAUGACAGCACUCGUUGAUUAAUCUGUUCUUCUUGUAUCAAUUUUUAAAAGAAAAGGUAACUAAAUAUUAUGUUUGUUUUUGUUGCUCCUGCUGUUGUGUAUGUAAUGAAGAAUCUUGUGUUUUUCUUAUGGUUUAAUCUGAGUGUUUGUUCGGUUGAUUUUUGGAGAUUUUGAUGUUUUGUAAUUGAAUCUGCUUACUUAUUUUGUGAUUUAACUUUGUUGCUUGAUUGCAAUUAUCAGGUGGAUAGUUGGCUGUUAGAAAACUCAGUUAAAAGGAAUUUACAUUUGGGGUUUUGAUAAAUGUUUUAUUCUUCUUGAUUUUUUAAUAUUCGUGCUUGAUUGAGAAUGAAGGGUUGUGGAAUCUGUUCAUUCAUUGAAAAUAGCCUGCAUUUCCAGUUACUUUACGGGAAAGCAAUAGAUUUUUCUUUUUGUGUUGGGGAUUUUGUGAAGGGAUUUGUUUAGAAUUCAUGGUAUAUUGUUAUUAUACACAUUAAGGCUGUAGGGCUUUAGUGAGAUUUCGGUUUAAAAUCAGAAGAAAUGAAACAGAUUACAAGAGAUUGGAGUUUGGUUCCUGUCAAUUUAUAUGUUUUGGCCAAGUAGGUCAGAUUAUGCAGAUUGAUGAUGAACUUCUUAGUUCUUCAAAACACAGUUGGAUACUUCAGUACAUUAAUAUUACUGGUUCAGUUAGAUCCUUGAAAUUCUUUGUGUAGUUGUCAUGGGGAUCAGGUGGGAGUUCGGCUUCUUGGAAAGGGUUUAGGAAACUGUGUUAGUUCGAAAUACUAAGCUUUAGGUGAACAAAUCUGAUAUUUAAAACAUAUGCUUUAGCUCUGGUAUGUUUUACAUCUAAACUCAUCCGCCGGCAAACUCUGAUGUGUUCUUCUUGCCUUAGCUCAGACCUUAGCAGCAAGAACAACCCCAACUCUCAAGCACGACAGUUUUGUUUUGUUUCUAGAAUUCAGUUUCAGUCCCCCUAAGCUUGUUACCCGAUUGACUGGAUCCACUUUGUUGAAUCAUUUGUCCUGUUGGCUUUGUGUGAUUCAACAUUGGACAUGAUAGUUCUUAAGAUUAUAUGCUUUUGACUUUGUUUUCUGAGUUGCAAUGCAAGCAGAGUGGUCAUUGCUGUGAUGAGAGAAGUUUUGUGCUCACUGUCACAGGACUUAGUUUUGAAUCAUGAGAUAUCCAUUUCAUGCGGGUAUGAAUUGAUAAAAGUGCAAAAUUUCUGUUGUAGAAUUUUGUUUGGGUUACUUCUUGAUCAGGCACUGGCACAUGAGAAUCAUAACAAAGAUGGCAGGAAAAAUAUGGACUGAUCUAGGCUUUGGUUCGGUUAAGUCCCAAUUUUACUUGCUGGGUUAGUCUGAGUUUUAAAAAUAUGGAUAGAGGAUCUUGGGUUUCAUAAAAAACAUACAUGUUAAUGCUUCUUUAAAAUCAAUUUAUCAUUCAUUCAUAAUUUAUUUUAAUUUUAUUAAUGAAUUUUUAUUAAAGAAUAUUUUUCAACAAAAUGACCAAAUCCAUUAACAAAACGAAAGGAUAUCAGUAUUUCUUUGUUGAGGUCUCACAUGUUAAUGUAGAUUCGCACAUGGAAAGACUAUUUUACCCUUCAUAUUGAAACCCAUGUAACUUACUUUUAAGGGGCAAAAACAUCUUUUCAACAAGAUCAAUUUUUCAUUGCAAGCUUGGAAGGGGCUAGAAUAGUACUUUUACUUUUAAUUACUUUUAAAGAUUAAAUUUUUUUAACUUUUGAUCGGGGAUUUUUUUGUUUUUUUCUUUUCAAAGCACAAUGCAAUUACUAAAAUGCCCUUACAAACAAAAAAUAUAUAACUUGUAUUAAAAGGCUUUUUGAUUUUUUCAUGUUGGUUUUGUCGUUGAUAUUAUGUUGGGUUAGGGGCAAUAUGGUAUUUUAAGAAAUUAAAAUAAAAAUAAAAAUAUAAAAGUUGUUAGCACGUGCAACACACAUGUCAGUGAGUAGAAAAAACUUGGGCCCUUUGAGUGGCAUAUGCAAGCUUCUCUGACGAACAAACACCUUCAUUUGUCGUGGUGUUGGGAGCGGCUCAUCGAGAUCUUUAUGGUGGAUGGGCGUGUGUCGGCGAAGGAUAUACGAUGUGGCUUUAGUGAAUUUUUUUCUUCCCCUCUCCCCCUUUUCUCUCUUCUCCUUAUUUGUUUUUCUUGUCCAAUUUAGUCCUUAUUCAUUUGAUUUCAUGUUUGAUUUCUUAUUUAUCUUUUUUUUAAUAUUUUUUUUCUUCAAUUUAGUUCCUCAUCAAUUUGUUUUAUUUGAUUUUUGUAUCAAUUUAGUCCUUGUUAUUUUAAUUAUUACUUAUGUGCUUUUUAAAUUUUUUUACAUUAGAUUGUUUGAUAAUUGAGUCUCAUUGUUUUAUUCAACUUGCUUUUGACAAAGUUGCCUUGAUAUCACAAUCGGAUUAUAGAUUUAGCAUGUUAACUCAGUUAAUCUCUUAUAAUUUUUUUUAAUCUUUUUUGGGUGUCAAUUGUUUUUUGUCGGCUCAUUUUAUUGUCGUUGUGUUUUUUAUUUCAUGUUAUAAAGAUCAUACAAUUUUAUUAAACUCAAUCAAGUUAAUUACCCGAAUUAUUUUUUUUAUAGAAACAUUUUUGUUGUUUUGACUUCUUUUUAUGAUAUAAAAAAAAAUAAGCUAACUUAUAUCGUAUCACACGAACCAUCUAAUUUUAAUUAAAAUAUAUUUAUUGACCAUGUUUUUACUAAAACAAAUUUCAACAGUAAGCAAUUUUACCAAAUCACUAAUAAUCAAAAUUGAGAAACCUCGAUUCCACAUGUGGGACAACCGACCUCUGCAUUAUGGCAGAUAAAAAGUGUGUUUUGUAUUGCAGUAGCUGUUGUGGUUGUUGUUUGAAAAAGGUUGUUUUAUAAAAAGUACUUUUAGUUGAGGUUGGUUUAAAAAAAUAGGUGUUUGGUUAAAACUGUGGUUGAAAUUGAGGUUGAAGAAAAAAUAGUUUAAUGUGUUUGGUUAAGAAUGCUUUUGAAAUUGAGGUUAUAAAAUAAUUUUAAAAAAAUAUAUUAAUAUUGAUGGUUUUAAAUUUAAAUAUUACGGAUUUAACUAUUGCUAUUAUAUCAUGAAAUAAAUCAUACUUUAUAUAAAAUAUUUUUUAUUAUUCCAUGAAACCAUUUAUAAUUCCAUUACAUAUACAUCCGACAAAAAUUACAGUUUUCAUAAUAUUUUUAGCAUGUAAUAAAAUUAGAUAAAAUAUUAUCAGGUAUAAAAUUCACUAUAAACUAGUUUUUUUAAAAAAAUAUUAAAAAAAUAACACACUAAAAUAAUAAAAAAGUUCACGCAAGCAAGUAAACAGUACAAGACAAUUGCACUGUUCACUAUUUUUAAGUGAACACUGCAAUUGUUUUGCACUGUUCAUGUUAAUUGCACUGUUCAAUGAAUAAACAGUACAAUUAACAUGAAUAAAAAAAGAGCCUAAUGAAUAGUCAAUUAAUUUUUUUCUUAAUCAAACAGCUGCAAACUUUGUUUUCAAUAAAAUACAGCCGCAGCCGAGAAAAAAUAUCUUACAAAUGAGGCGGCCCAAAACUAGAGAAAAUACCUUGCGAGCUGGCAAACAAUUAGUGGGUGUUGCGUCGUCUUCGAUAGGGAAAUUUGGAUAGCAUUUCAGCAUCUGGAUGGCUACUUUUUGAAAAAAAAACACAUUCAUUUUCGGGUCAGAUGAUAUUAUACGUUGUUCCUUUAUGACUUUUGGAGGAGGCUACGAGUAAGUAGAUAAACGAAAAGGAGAAAUAGGUGGCAAGGAAUAUCAGACAAGAAGCAAUGAAGCAAGAAGAGCUGAUUUUUGUUCCAGGCCCCGGUAUCGGUCACUUAGCAUCAGGCCUUGAAUUAGCAAAGCGCCUGCUCGACCAUGAUGAUCGAUUAUCAAUCACAAUACUUGUUAUGAACAUGCCCUUUACUCCAUCUAUUAAUUCAUACACCAGAUCACUCACUGCAUCACAACCCCGCAUCAAACUCGUUGAUCUUCCCGAAGUGGAUCCUCCCCCAUCAGAGCUUUUAACGAAAUCCCCAGAAGCUUAUAUCUGUGAUUUCAUUGAAAGUUACAUACCCCAUGUCAAAACUACUGUCACAGAUAUUAUAUCAUCCCUGUCUAACUCGGAUGUCCGAGUUGCCGGGUUUAUUCUUGAUUUCUUUUGCGUGUCCAUGAUUGACAUUGCAAAUGAAUUCAGUCUCCCUCCUUAUAUCUUCAUAACCUCCAACGCAGGAUUCUUGGGUCUUAUGCUAAACCUACCCAAACGCCAUGAUGAAAUCAGCGAGGUGAUGCAAAUGUCUGAUCCUGAUUCGUUAAUACCAGGUUUUUUCAAUCCUGUUCCAGCACGAGUCUUGCCUGAUGCUGUAUUUAAUAAACAUGGUGGUUAUGCUGCUUAUGUUAAGGUUGCUCAAAGGUUCAAGGAUGGAAAAGGUAUAAUCGUGAACACAUUUGCUGAGCUGGAGCCUUUUGUGCUCAGGUCCUUCUCUGAUGAUCACCGAAUCCCUCCAGUUUACCCUGUUGGGCCAGUGCUACACCUAAAGGGUCAGCCUCACCCUGAAAUAAACCAGGAUCAGUUGGACAAAAUCAUGAAAUGGCUUGAUGAACAGCCUCAAUCAUCUGUGGUGUUUCUAUGCUUCGGAAACUUUGGGAGCUUUAGCCCCCUACAAGUGAAAGAAAUAGCACUUGGCAUCGAGCAAAGUGGGUUCAAAUUCCUGUGGUCCAUGCGUUUUCCACGCUCUCCGUCUAAUCAGUUCAUGAAUCCUGAAGAUGUGUUACCAGAAGGAUUCUUGGAACGCAUAGAAGGACGAGGAAUUAUGUGUGGAUGGGCACCGCAGGUUGAAGUCCUAGCUCACAAGGCAAUAGGAGGGUUCGUGUCUCAUUGUGGGUGGAACUCCAUCUUGGAGAGCUUGUGGUACGGUGUUCCUAUCGUUACAUUGCCUAUAUAUGCUGAACAGCAGCUUAAUGCAUUUAGGAUGGUGAAGGAAUUGGGACUGUCAGUGGAGCUGAAACUGGAUUACAGGGUAGGUGGUGAUCUUGUGACUGCAGAUGAGAUAGCAAAAUCUGUAAUAUGUGUUAUGCAAAGUGAUAGUGAGGUGAGGAAGAAGGUGAAAGAAAUGAGCGAGAAAGGCAGGAAGGCUGUGAUGGAUGGUGGAUCUUCUUUCACUUCUAUCACACAACUCAUCCAGGAUAUAACAGGAAACAACUGAUAUGAAUACCGCCUGCUAGUAAGGGUUGAUUUCCAUUGUAGUUGAAGAAAUUGUGUGUGAAAAAUAAGGUCUUCCUGGAUGUAUAACGUUAACAAUGUUUUCCAUAUUUAAACCUUUCAUUUUGCUGUCUCAUGAAUCUCUCUAGUUGUUCUUCUAGUUUCCAAGGUGUGUGAUGUUUUCUCAACUUGAUCUUCUAUAUUGUUAGAGUCCUGUUAUAGCUCCUUCUGCAGAAACAAAUAUAUCAGAUUUGAAGUCUUCAAAUUUCAUCAUGCAGUCUUUACAAGGAUAGGAUUGCAGAGUUGCUGUCUUAUAUAUUUCUGUCAUAUGGACCUCCAAAUCAUUAUUGCAAGUCUUUUUUUUCCCAUUAAUCUUUGAUUCUGCAAGACUAGCAAGCUCUCUGUGUUUGUUGUUUGGCAUUCGGGGAGUGAGCUCUAGAAUUUUUGUUCAGAAGGAAAAAAAACAAAAAAAGCUCUAGGAUUCUCUGUUUACUGCUCGCCCCAACUUGACAAUGUACCUGGUCAUGUUUGCCGAGCUGUUUAGAUAAUUACGGGUCCAUUGGCCAAUUAGAAAGGUGAGCCAGUCCAAAGACUUUAGUGAAGCCGUCUUUUAAAUUUUAAGUUUAUGUUGACGUUCGUCGAAUUUCAUCUUAUAAUUGUUCUUCAAAUCUUUUGUAGAUAUGCCAUUAGUGAAAACUAUCAAAGAUUUUUUUUAAUUUUUUUUUAAAAAAUUAUUUUUUAUAUUAUAUUAACACAUUAAAACAAUCCAAAAACACCUAAAAAUAUAUAAUUAUAGUAAAGUAUAACUUAUUCCUUAUACUCUAUCAAGUAUUCCCUAUAUAUUAAAAAUUAUUAAAUAAGUUUUUAAUCUAAGUUAAUCAUCCAUAGUUAUACUCUCUUCGCCCAUUAUUAUUGAUCCUUUUUGGCUUUUCAAAGUAAAUAUAACAUGAUUUUGAUACUCUCUUUUUUCUUAUAUUGAUUAAAAAUUUAACAAAAAAAAUGUUAUGAAAAAUAUAAUAAACUUUAACUAAUACUUAAUUUUUCAAAUUUUAGAUCAAUAAAAUAAAUUAAAAAUAUUAGAUCAUUGCUAAAAUCCAUUGACGUCUUCAAAUUAACGAGGGAUUAUUGUAAUGGAUUAAUCAGUAAUUUUAUAUUCUAAAAAUAUUUUAUUUUCAAAUUAAAAUUUUCUCAACUUACUUACAUCAUCAAAAGAUUUUAUAAUAUUCAAGUUAUAACUAAUCAUAUUAGUUAGCUAAUGGAAUACGCUUCAAGGAAGAAGACAAAAUACAAGUGAAAGAAAUAUUAAAAUAUAUAACCCAUAAAAAUAAUUAAAAUAUCCACACCUACUCUUAUUUAUUUAUUUUUAUAAAGUGAAUCUUAUUAAAUAAAUAAUAGAAUAUCACUAAUUACAUUUUAUUAUUCACCUUUUUUUUAUUCUAUUCCACACAAAAAAAUAGAAAAGCACAAGAUUUUAAUAGAAGGAUUAUGUUAUAAAUGUAAUUAAAAAGAAAUAAGGAUUGAUAAUAAGUUUUAAAAUUACAAGGACUAAUUAAUUAGUUUUGUUAACUACAGAGGCUAAGGUAUAAUUCAUCCAGUGCUGACUGUUUCUGCUGCAGCCUGUACUUUGCCAGCUUCAAGUCAAAAUGAUCAAAUGUCGGCAGUGAGAUACGUCUGCAAAAGAAGAUGAUUGCAGGUACCUGGAUGCUGUCUUCAAAUCUCUAAAUUGGAAAAAUAAUCUCAACAUCCAUGGCAACCCUAGGGAACCCUCUUGCCUCUGUCCCAAUUAGCUCAAACCCCACCAUCUUAACUGCCAAUAACGAACAGAAAAGCAAUCCCUCCACAGUCCCAAUACUCAUUGACAAAUGUGCCAACAAAAAACACCUGAAACAACUCCAUGCUCAUAUGCUACGCACUGGUCUCUUCUUCGACCCUCCAUCGGCUACCAAGCUCUUCACUGCAUGUGCUUUGUCCUCUCCCUCGAGCCUCGAUUAUGCUUGCAAGGUGUUCGACCAAAUUCCCCGACCAAAUCUCUACACUUGGAACACCCUCAUUCGUGCUUUUGCUUCAAGCCCCAAACCCAUCCAAGGCCUCUUGGUAUUUAUCCAGAUGCUUCAUGAGAGCCAACGUUUUCCUAACAGUUACACUUUCCCUUUUGUUAUUAAGGCUGCCACGGAGGUUUCUAGUUUACUUGCUGGACAAGCUAUUCAUGGAAUGGUUAUGAAGGCAUCGUUUGGUUCGGAUUUGUUUAUUUCGAACUCACUUAUUCAUUUCUAUUCCUCAUUGGGGGAUUUGGAUUCGGCUUAUUUAGUUUUUUCGAAGAUUGUUGAGAAAGAUAUUGUAUCAUGGAAUUCAAUGAUAUCGGGGUUUGUGCAAGGGGGUAGCCCUGAGGAGGCAUUGCAGUUGUUUAAAAGAAUGAAGAUGGAGAAUGCGAGGCCCAAUCGUGUGACAAUGGUGGGAGUUUUAUCAGCUUGUGCAAAGAGGAUAGAUUUGGAAUUUGGUAGAUGGGCUUGCGAUUACAUUGAGAGGAAUGGGAUUGAUAUAAAUUUGAUUUUGAGUAAUGCAAUGCUUGAUAUGUAUGUGAAAUGUGGGAGCCUUGAAGAUGCUAGAAGAUUGUUUGAUAAGAUGGAGGAGAAAGAUAUUGUUUCGUGGACAACUAUGAUUGAUGGGUAUGCAAAAGUGGGUGAUUAUGAUGCGGCUAGGAGGGUUUUUGAUGUCAUGCCCAGGGAAGAUAUUACUGCCUGGAAUGCAUUAAUAUCUUCUUAUCAACAGAAUGGGAAGCCAAAAGAGGCACUAGCCAUUUUCCGUGAAUUACAGCUUAAUAAGAACACAAAACCAAACGAAGUUACACUUGCAAGUACCUUGGCAGCAUGUGCUCAGCUGGGAGCAAUGGAUUUAGGUGGGUGGAUUCAUGUGUACAUAAAGAAGCAAGGCAUUAAGUUAAACUUCCAUAUCACAACCUCGCUUAUUGACAUGUAUUCUAAGUGUGGCCAUCUAGAGAAGGCACUUGAGGUGUUUUAUUCUGUGGAAAGGAGAGAUGUGUUUGUAUGGAGUGCCAUGAUUGCUGGGUUGGCAAUGCAUGGGCAUGGGAGAGCUGCUAUUGAUUUGUUCUCAAAGAUGCAAGAAACUAAGGUAAAGCCCAAUGCUGUGACAUUUACCAAUUUACUGUGCGCUUGUAGUCACUCGGGACUAGUGGAUGAGGGCAGGUUGUUUUUCAAUCAAAUGAGGCCAGUUUAUGGUGUUGUGCCUGGUAGCAAACAUUAUGCUUGUAUGGUUGAUAUUCUUGGUCGUGCAGGCUGCCUUGAAGAAGCUGUUGAAUUAAUAGAAAAAAUGCCAAUAGUCCCAAGUGCUUCUGUGUGGGGUGCUCUACUUGGAGCAUGCAGAAUUUAUGGAAAUGUUGAGCUCGCUGAAAUGGCUUGUAGUCGUUUGCUUGAGACAGACUCCAAUAAUCAUGGAGCUUAUGUGCUCUUAUCCAAUAUAUAUGCCAAAGCAGGCAAAUGGGACUGUGUUUCUAGAUUAAGGCAGCACAUGAAAGUUUCUGGGUUGGAGAAGGAACCAGGUUGUAGCUCGAUUGAGGUUAAUGGCAUCAUUCAUGAGUUUCUCGUUGGAGAUAACUCUCACCCUCUCUCCACGGAAAUCUACUCAAAGUUGGACGAGAUUGUAGCUAGAAUAAAAUCAACUGGUUAUGUGUCUGACGAGUCCCACCUUCUACAAUUUGUUGAAGAAGAAUACAUGAAGGAGCAUGCCCUUAACCUUCACAGUGAAAAAUUGGCAAUUGCCUAUGGGCUUAUUAGGAUGGAACCAUCACAACCCAUUAGGAUUGUGAAAAAUCUUCGUGUUUGUGGGGACUGUCAUUCAGUUGCUAAGAUCAUAUCUAAACUUUAUAAUAGAGAUAUACUAUUGAGAGAUCGGUAUCGGUUCCAUCAUUUCAGUGGAGGGAAUUGCUCGUGUAUGGAUUACUGGUAAAUAAGGGUGGAAUAUGGUUUGAAGAUUUCACCUCAAUUCUCUACAGAAUGACAUAAUUCCUCAUUGUAGUCUGGGGAGGAAGCAAGAGUGAUGGAGUUGUAGGAGAACUGGGAGUUCCAAGCUAAAAAACUUUCAUCAAGUCUCCAGCACUUCUCAUGGUGUUUGCUCAGGGCUUCAAGCUUAAGAAAGAAGCAUCUUACUUGGAUGGUAUUUCUGUUUUUAACUGUGAUGCAAAGCAAAUGUAUGGAAUGUGAAAAUCCAGAUUUUGCUUUUGUUUUCUAGGUAUUUCUUUUCCCCAGCACGUUGUCAGUAUUGAAGUUUAAAACUUGGAAAUUAUAUUCUCGGUGUUAUUUUGUGCACUUUAUGUUCCCUGAAAAUGAUUACACUCACGAACACUGAUGGGCUCUUAGAGGAACUUGUCAACCAUUACAUUUCUGGAAUGCGCCAUGAGGAUUCGAUUUCUUGAGUAAAGCUUAGUUGAUCGCAAUCCAGCUCAGUUAAGAGUAGAUUGUAGGAGGAACUUGCAAAUAUUGUAACCUUGGGAAGUUUGAAACAUAUUUACUGCUGGAGGCUUUCAUUUUGUUUUGUUAAAUGAAGAGUACAAACCUCUAGUUGAUGAUAGCUUGUCUCCUGACUGCAGGGAUGGGUGCUGCAGUAACCAUUGUUACUAUGUAGAACUUGCUAUUUUUACCGUGGAGUUAUAAUUUGACUUACUUUUUUGCUGAUUUCAUAAAGAGUCAGCAAGCUAGCUUGUUGCUAGAAGUUCAAUGAUUAUUUUGGGCUCCAGAUUCUUUGAAGUGAGUUCGAAUAUCUUGACCACAUUUGUCCUUCCAGGUGCAGCCACAUCUUAAACCUCC